GAGGUCUCUUAAAGCCCAUCUAUAUCUAGAUUACCUUCAUAUCUAACCACAAAUUUUCCAAUAAUUUUAUUUUUAUUUUCACAUCGUGUUCAAAUCGAAGAAACGCGAUUUGACUUGCUGCUUUAUAAAAGCAGCUGCAGGGGCAGCAAUAAUUUACUGAAGAAAAAAAGUCGGAGAGUGUCAAGGGAAAAUGAAAUUGUUUACAAUUUUCUUUGGUGUCACCCUCCUUAUGGCCAUGUUCCAUAAUAGCAUGGGAGUUAUCAAACCGAUCAGUGAUGAGGCCAAGUAUGUGAAAUAUGAUAGGUUGAGGAAAUAUCAAACCUUCAGAGUGUCCGCAAAUCCUAAUACACAUUAGAAUUUUCAAUAAUUUUGCAAUUUUUUUGAAAUAAAGAAAGAAUUUUGAAA